GUAAUGAACUUUCACUUGGCACAAUAUUUGGGCUUAUAUAGAUUAAUAUAUCCGAAAUUUAAAUUUUAAAUUUUCAAUAUAGGUCCGGACAUUCAGAUUUCAUAUCGGAUUCAGUUC
rnacentral:sRNA from 1 species